UGGGGAAUAUUGCACAAUGGGCGCAAGCCUGAUGCAGCCAUGCCGCGUGUAUGAAGAAGGCCUUCGGGUUGUAAAGUACUUUCAGCGGGGAGGAAGGUGUUGAGGUUAAUAACCUCAGCAAUUGACGUUACCCGCAGAAGAAGCACCGGCUAACUCCGUGCCAGCAGCCGCGGUGAUACGGAGGGUGCAAGCGUUAAUCGGAAUUACUGGGCGUAAAGCGCACGCAGGCGGUCUGUCAAGUCGGAUGUGAAAUCCCCGGGCUCAACCUGGGAACUGCAUUCGAAACUGGCAGGCUAGAGUCUUGUAGAGGGGGGUAGAAUUCCAGGUGUAGCGGUGAAAUGCGUAGAGAUCUGGAGGAAUACCGGUGGCGAAGGCGGCCCCCUGGACAAAGACUGACGCUCAGGUGCGAAAGCGUGGGGAGCAAACA
rnacentral:rRNA from 1 species